GAACAAAGUCGCCAUUACAGAGUGGGAUAUCUCUAACUGAGCAAUGAUCGCUUAGGGGACUAUAAGAGGCAAAGUGAAAGGAGACUGAAUUUGCUGGUGUUAGAGGAUAACUCUGCUCAGCUGACCAGUGAUGUACAUACAUACAGAUCACUGUCAUCACCAAGUGAGCAGCUCCCCUGUGGUUCAUGACAAACUCAGUCCAUAUCAUGGCUCAGUCCAGAGGCUUCGUGGGCCGGUCUCUGUGCAGUUUGGAGAGCUCCUGCACAUGCUCCCUGUGGGAUGGCUCAUGAAGCACCGCCUUCACCACCUCCUCAUUGAAGUUGUCUUUGUUCAACGUGCAAAUGUCCAGCACUCUGGCAACACCCCUAGCACUCAGCCUGCACAAGUUAUCAUCCUGGUCAUACAUCAGAGCCCGGCAAACGAUGGGAUCAGAGGUAGAUCCGUGGUAGAUGGCCUCUUGAAGUCCUUUGGUGCCUCCGCAGGCCAGAAAUGCUUUUGGUGUCCUGAGAGGUCACUUUAGGGCAGCCAUUCCAGUGGUAAGGUGCUGCUGCCCAGGGUGGAUGGUAACUUCCCACUGUGCCUCCAGAUGAACAAAGAAGGAAAGAAGAUUUUUCUGUUUA